AAGCACAUAAAAUUUUUCACUGUAGAUUUUCUCUUUUUCCUUUUCUUUCGAUUUCUUUCAUUUUCUUGAAUCUUCAUCUCAAUUCUUCCUUCGAUCCUCUCUAAUCACUGUUCCUGUUAUUAGAGCCAUUCAACAAAUGUUGAUAAUGGAAAACAAUCAAGUACCAACUUUUGAUUCUUCAUUCGUUCCCGAAAGAGGAAUCUACUCAUCAACAACCUGUGUGAACCUUAAUUCACGGAGAACUUCUUCCACCUCCAUAAUUGUCUCACCCAAUCGUCAAGUCAUCUUACCGAAGCUGCUAGGUCCAAUUACUCAUUUUGAAAGUCCCAGGUGCCCUUGAAUGUUGCAAAUCACGAUCUUGAAGAACAUCUCAUCGGAAUAUUGCCACAACCUAUUCCCUUUGUACAUGUAAGAUUUGAUGAGCCCAACGCAUCCACUGUUAUGGUACAUGUGAUGGAGGUAGCUGCAAGGUAGAAUCAGGUUAGCGACGAUAGAUUUGGGGUAGAGCAAGUUAUCUCUAGUUUAUGUUACAUGCGUACAACCAUAUGUUAUUGUUGACUUUUGGCCUUCUUCAGAUGUUUGUACAGUUGUAUAUGAUUACUCCAUGUAUUCAGAUACUUUUUAGAUGAGUUUUCAUAUAUGAUAUAUACAUCUUUUGUUCGCUU